rnacentral:sRNA from 1 species
AAAGAUCAACUGCCAAGACCUCGUUGCG